rnacentral:rRNA from 1 species
UACAGAGGUGGCGAGCGUUAUUCGGAAUUAUUGGGCGUAAAGAGCUCGUAGGCGGUUUGUCGCGUCUGCUGUGAAAACUCGGGGCUUAACCCCGGGCCUGCAGUGGGUACGGGCAGACUAGAGUGCGGUAGGGGAGACUGGAAUUCCUGGUGUAGCGGUGAAAUGCGCAGAUAUCAGGAGGAACACCGGUGGCGAAGGCGGGUCUCUGGGCCGAUACUGACGCUGAGGAGCGAAAGCGUGGGGAGCGAACAGG